GACGAACGCUGGCGGCGUGCCUAAUACAUGCAAGUCGAACGCAGUGGGGACGGGUGAGUAACACGUGGGUAACCUCCCAUCAGAGGGGAUAACACUUGGAAACAGGUGCUAAACCGACACUGGUGGAGGGACCCGCGGUGCAUUAGCUAGUUGGUGGGGUAACGGCCCACCAAGGCCACGAUGCAUAGGCGGCCUGGUGGGGUGAUCGGCCACACUGGGACUUAGACACGGGCCAGACUCCUACGGGGGGCAGCCGUAGGGGAUGUUCGGCAAGUGGCGGAAGUCUGACCGAGCAACGCCGCGUGAGUUAAGAAGGUUUUCGGAUCUUAAAACUCUGUUGUUAGAGAAGCGGUAUCUAGCCAGAGAGCCACGGGUAACUACGUGCCAGCCGCCGCGGUAAUAC
rnacentral:rRNA from 1 species